rnacentral:rRNA from 1 species
AUUGAACGCUGGCGGCAGGCCUAACACAUGCAAGUCGAGCGAGCGGCGGACGGGUGAGUAAUGCCUGGGAAUUGCCCAGUCGAGGGGGAUAACAGUUGGAAACGACUGCUAAUACCGCAUACGAUUGGAUUGCCCAGGUGGGAUUAGCUGGUUGGUGAGGAAAUGGCUCACCAAGGCGACGGUCCCUAGCGGGUCUGAGUGGAGGAUCAGCCACACGGGAACUGAGCAACGUUCCAGACUCCUAGGGGGGGCGGCAGGGGGGAAUAUUGCAAAAGGGGGGAAACCGUGAGGCAGCAUGGCCGGGGGUGGAAAGAGGGCCUACGGGUUGAAAGGCACUUUAAGCGGGGAGGCGUUACUCGAGGAAGAAGCACCGGCUAACUCCGUGCAAGCGGCGGCGGUAUAC